GAUGAAGAACGUAGCGAAAUGCGAUAAGUAAUGCGAAUCGCAGAAUUCAGUGAGUCAUCGAAUCUUUGAACGCACAUUGCGCCCUGUGGUAUUCCGCAGGGCAUGCCUGUUCGAGCGUCAUUUCAACCCUCAAGCUCUGCUUGGUGUUGGGCCCUGCCCGCUGCGGCCGGCCCUAAAGACAGUGGCGGUGCCGCCUGGCCCUGAGCGUAGUACAUCUCUCGCUCCAGUGCCCGGUGGUAGCCUGCCAGAACCCCAACUCUCGUGGUUGACCUCGGAUCAGGUAGGGAUACCCGCUGAACUUAAGCAUAUCAAUAUGCGGAGGA
rnacentral:misc_RNA from 1 species